rnacentral:rRNA from 1 species
UGCAAGUCGAACGGUAGAGGGGGCAACCCCUUGAGAGUGGCGAACGGGUGAGUAAUGUAUCGGAACGUGCCCAGUCGUGGGGGAUAACGUAGUGAAAAUUACGCUAAUACCGCAUACGAUCUAUGGAUGAAAGCGGGGGAUCGCAAGACCUCGCGCGAUUGGAGCGGCCGAUAUCAGAUUAGGUAGUUGGUGGGGUAAAGGCUCACCAAGCCAACGAUCUGUAGCUGGUCUGAGAGGACGACCAGCCACACUGGAACUGAGACACGGUCCAGACUCCUACGGGAGGCAGCAGUGGGGAAUUUUGGACAAUGGACGCAAGUCUGAUCCAGCCAUUCCGCGUGCAGGACGAAGGCCUUCGGGUUGUAAACUGCUUUUGUACGGAACGAAAAAGCUCUUAUUAAUACUAGGAGUCCAUGACGGUACCGUAAGAAUAAGCACCGGCUAACUACGUGCCAGCAGCCGCGGUAAUACGUAGGGUGCAAGCGUUAAUCGGAAUUACUGGGCGUAAAGCGUGCGCAGGCGGUUAUAUAAGACAGAUGUGAAAUCCCCGAGCUUAACUUGGGAACUGCAUUUGUGACUGUAUAGCUAGAGUACGGCAGAGGGGGAUGGAAUUCCGCGUGUAGCAGUGAAAUGCGUAGAUAUGCGGAGGAACACCGAUGGCGAAGGCAAUCCCCUGGGCCUGUACUGACGCUCAUGCACGAAAGCGUGGGGAGCAAACAGGAUUAGAUACCCUGGUAGUCCACGCCCUNAACGAUGUCAACUGGUUGUUGGGUCUUCACUGACUCAGUAACGAAGCUAACGCGUGAAGUUGACCGCC